rnacentral:rRNA from 1 species
CGGUAAUACCAGCUCUCCGAGUGGUGGGGAUGUUUAUUGGGCCUAAAGCAUUCGUAGCCUGCUUGGCAAGUCCUCCGUUAAAUCCAACGAUUCAAUCGUUGGGCUGCGGGGGAUACUGUCCGGCUAGGGGGCGGGAGAGGCCGACGGUAUCCCCGGGGUAGGGGUGAAAUCCUAUAAUCCCGGGAGGACCACCAGUGGCGAAGGCUGUCGGCUAGAACGUGCUCGACGGUGAGGGAUGAAAGCUGGGGGAGCGAACCGGAUUAGAUACCCGGGUAGUCCCAGCUGUAAACGAUGCAGGCUAGGUGUUGGCGCGGCUACGUGCCGCUCCAGUGCCGCAGGGAAGCCGUUAAGCCUGCCGCCUGGGAAGUACGGCCGCAAGGCUGAAAACUUAAA